UCCUUAGAUGUUCUGGGCUGCACGCGCGCUACAAUAAUACGCACAGCGAGUAUCACCGAGCUCGAAAGGGCAAGGUAAACAAUAGAAAAGGUACUGUAAUGGUUAUAGAUCCUUGUAAUUAUUGAUCUUCAACGAGGAAUUCCUAGUAAGUAUGUGUCAUCAUCACGCACUGAUUACGUCCCUGCCCUUUGUACACACCGCCCGUCGCUCCUACCGAUUGGGUGAGCCGAUGAAACUCUCGGAUGUAGGCUAUUCAUAGCCCGCAGAAGAGAUUUGAAUCGUAGCGCUUAGAGGAAGGAGAAGUCGUAACA
rnacentral:rRNA from 1 species